ACUGCCUGAGAAAUAUUCCACGCAAGCAUAAUCGAGAAAGCAACGACCAGUCCCCUACAAAGCAAUUAUAAUGCUCUUGGUUUGCGCUCGUGUAGCAACUACCCUCCGCUAAGCCUAUGACGUCAAGGCAUUCGGAAAGCAAAAGCACCUUCCUUCCCGGCCCGCCCUAACCACCCGAUUUUCCUACCGCUGAGGCCCGGACGAAUUUUCAAGUGUCCGACGAAGGGAAUAUUUCGCUCUUACCAGGAUUUACUCCAAGUUGAGAUCUUGGCAACAUGUAAUCGUUUUAAGUUAUAAAAAUGUCCUCAAAACCGUGGCUGCUGACUUUUUAUCCCAUACAAAGCGAAAGUUUGGGAGCAUCAGAACUUUUCAAGUAGGCUCAAGUACAGCAUAUAGCCCCUUCCACCUAAGUUUAUCCAGACGGAAGCCGUAUCAUGGUGUUGGCUUCAAAACUCAGCUGACGUCUUGAGUACGAGAAGCCUUUUGGUAAUACAGGCCAUUUCUGAGGAAUAUCAAAAAAUCAUCGAAGCCAAUAAUGAUCUUCCCACAUUGUGAGGAAAGGUUAUGAGUAAAAGUCUGGCUACAAUGUCCGGUGUAUUGCUCAAGAAACCAG